rnacentral:lncRNA from 1 species
CUAUAUCUAUCUUAUUUCUCUUAUUUUCUUACAAAGACACUAACAAUUGAAAUUUACCACCAUGUUGUCACACUUCAUUCCCACCUUGAUAAAAAUGAAACAGAAAUUUAGCACAGCUGGCUCUUCUGCUGUGGGUCCUCUCAAGUGAGGAACUUGAGAAAUUGUGAGAAAUGAGUGGAAAUUUGGGUUGAGUCCAUGCUAAAAAGAUAAUGAAAUUAAAGAGAGUCACGGUGGCAUCCUUUCCCUUCUACACCAAGCAACACCUGGAAUUUACAUUCCCUGGUUCCUCAAAAUGGAUCAAAUCCAAUCCCUGGAUUUCAAGCAAAAGAUGGAGAAUGAUAAGACAUGAGCUCUUGGGCACAACCAAACCAAUUUGAAGUAGAGAAGGAAAAAAAAAAAAAAAAAGAACAAAGCAUUAU